rnacentral:tRNA from 1 species
UUGAGCAUAGUCUAGUGGUAUGAUUCUCGCUUCGGGUGCGAGAGGUCCCGAGUUCGAUUCCCGGUGCUCCCC